CCUGGCUCAGAUUGAACGCUGGCGGCAUGCUUUACACAUGCAAGUCGAACGGUAACAGGGAGCUUGCUCCGCUGACGUAGUGGCGAACGGGUGAGUAAUGCAUACGGAACGUACCCAGUCGUGGGGGAUAACGUAGCGAAAGUUACGCUAAUACCGCAUACGUCCUGAGGGAGAAAGCGGGGGACCGUAAGGCCUCGCGCGAUUGGAGCGGCCGAUGUCGGAUUAGCUAGUUGGUAGGGUAAAAGGCCUACCAAGGCGACGAUCCGUAGCGGGUCUGAGAGGAUGAUCCGCCACACUGGGACUGAGACACGGCCCCAGACUCCUACGGGAGGCAGCAGUGGGGAAUUUUGGACAAUGGGCGAAAGCCUGAUCCAGCCAUGCCGCGUGAGUGAAGAAGGCCUUCGGGUUGUAAAGCUCUUUCAGCCGGAAAAGAAAUCGCGCAGGAUAAUACUCUGCGUGGAUGACGGUAC
rnacentral:rRNA from 1 species